rnacentral:RNase_P_RNA from 1 species
CCAGGUGGCCGGGUGGCCGCGGCCUCUUGAACAUGGGAGGUCGAGGAAAGUCCGAGCUCCACCGAGACGGGGCGCUGGGUAACUCCCAGUAGGGGUGACCCUCAGGAAAGCGCCACAGAAACAAACCGCCUCCCGCUUGGCGGCGCGAGGUAAGGGUGAAAUGGUGCGGUAAGAGCGCACCAGCGGUCGGGUGACCGGCCGGCUGGGCAAGCCCCGCCCGGAGCAAGACCGCAUAGGAGGGCCAUGGGAGUCUCGGCUCGCCCUCGGGUAGGUCGCUAGAGGCGGCGGGUAACCGCCGCCCCAGAGAGAUGGUCACCGCCCGCCGCAGCGGCGGCGGGAACAGAACUCGGCUUACAGGCCACCUGGCCCU